UUGACCUCGAAUCAGGUAGGAAUACCCGCUGAACUUAAGCAUAUCAAUAAGCGGAGGAAAAGAAACCAACCGGGAUUACCUCAGUAACGGCGAGUGAAGCGGUAACAGCUCAAAUUUGAAAUCUGGCUCCUUCGGAGUCCGAGUUGUAAUUUGUAGAAGAUGCUUUGGGUUGUGGGUUCGGCCUAAGUUCCUUGGAACAGGACGUCAUAGAGGGUGAGAAUCCCGUACGUGGCCGAGGCCUGCGCCUAUGUAAAGCUCUUUCGACGAGUCGAGUUGUUUGGGAAUGCAGCUCAAAAUGGGUGGUAAAUUUCAUCUAAAGCUAAAUAUGGGCCAGAGACCGAUAGCGCACAAGUAGAGUGAUCGAAAGAUGAAAAGCACUUUGGAAAGAGAGUUAAACAGUACGUGAAAUUGUUGAAAGGGAAGCGCUUGCAACCAGACUUGGGCGCUGCCGAUCACCCCGAGUUCUCUCAGGUGCACUCGACAGCGCACAGGCCAGCAUCGGUUUGGAUGGCUGGAUAAAGGCCGUAGGAACGUAGCUCCUCUCGGGGAGUGUUAUAGCCUAUGGUGCCAUGCAGCCCAUCCGGACCGAGGACCGCGCCUUCGGGCUAGGAUGCUGGCGUAAUGGUUGUAAGCGACCCGUCUUGAAACACGGACCAAGGAGUCUAACAUCUAUGCGAGUGUUUGGGCGUUAAACCCAUACGCGGAAUGAAAGUGAACGUAGGUGAGAACCCCUUUGGGGCGCAUCAUCGACCGAUCCUGA
rnacentral:rRNA from 1 species